UACAGAGGUCUCAAGCGUUGUUCGGAUUCAUUGGGCGUAAAGGGUGCGUAGGCGGUGCGGUAAGUCGGGUGUGAAAUCUCGGGGCUUAACUCCGAAACUGCAUUCGAUACUGCCGUGCUUGAGGACUGGAGAGGAGACUGGAAUUUACGGUGUAGCGGUGAAAUGCGUAGAUAUCGUAAGGAAGACCAGUGGCGAAGGCGGGUCUCUGGACAGUUCCUGACGCUGAGGCACGAAGGUCAGGGGAGCAAACGGG
rnacentral:rRNA from 1 species